rnacentral:rRNA from 1 species
AGUGAACGCUGGCGGUAGGCCUAACACAUGCAAGUCGAACGGCAGCACAGUAAGAGCUUGCUCUUACGGGUGGCGAGUGGCGGACGAGUGAGGAAUACAUCGGAAUCUACUUUUUCGUGGGGGAUAACGUAGGGUAACUUACGCUAAUACCGCAUACGACCUACGGGUGAAAGCAGGGGAUCUUCGGACCUUGCGCGAUUGAAUGAGCCGAUGUCGGAUUAGCUAGUUGGCGGGGUAAAGGCCCACCAAGGCGACGAUCCGUAGCUAGUCUGAGAGGAUGAUCAGCCACACUGGAACUGAGACACGGUCCAGACUCCUACGGGAGGCAGCAGUGGGGAAUAUUGGACAAUGGGCGCAAGCCUGAUCCAGCCAUACCGCGUGGGUGAAGAAGGCCUUCGGGUUGUAAAGCCCUUUUGUUGGGAAAGAAAAGCAGCAGGUUAAUACCCCGCUGUUCUGACGGUACCCAAAGAAUAAGCACCGGCUAACUUCGUG